CCUUCCCGCCACGUAUCAGGAGGGACGUCUCUCCACGCGCCCCUCUCCCCGCGGGCGGCCCCGUCUCUUCUCCCGCGGGCGGCCCCGCAUUCUGUGCGCCCUGUGCACGAGGAGGCUGCCUCCCGGAGCCCGGGGACGGAUGCCACAGCCUGGCCGGCGCUGCUGCGGCUCUGGUGCCCCCUCCCAGCAGGCGCCCCUUACACCCUGAUGCCCCCCAGUACCCCGAGGCCCCCGGCAUCCCGAGUCGCCCACCCCCCGCACCCGAGGGCUUGCACAGGCACCGGUCCCCCCCGCCUGGCGCCCUGCUACGGAAGGACGUGUCCGUGAUGCCCCCGCGUGUCCACAGAGCGCACACCUCUACCUGUGUCCCCGCCCCCCGCAGCCUGGUGUGCCGGAGAGCUCCGGGGCGGCUGCAGUGUCACGUCGCAGGGGGCCUCGGGGUGCCAGGGGGCCUCGGGGUGUAAGGGGGGGGGAGCCCCGCACGACCUGGUGCAGGUGUGUCGGAGAGCUCCGGGGCAGCUGCCAGAAGCGCUUCCCGCGGGUGGAGCCGUGUCCUCGCGUCCCGUGGGUUCACAGCGGUGGUCAGGAAUAAAUAGGAGCAACGUGGGUGGCAGGAGAGUGUGUGCUGGAAGCAGCAGGGGCCGCCAAGGGACAUCCAGGCAGAGCACUGGAGAAGGGCGGGCACACUUGCCGUCGGAAGUGGCCAGAGGUGGGAGUCCUCUCCCUCCCCAGCUCACCAACCAUCACGACGGUCCUUCCAAACCCGACAGACAUGGAAAACUGAAGUGCAGGGAGGUUAAAGACAGCCCAGGAUCACACAGCUCCCGAGUCACCCCGGCUCCGAAGGUCCAGUAACACCUGCCCGAGUGGAAGGGCGCUGGGAAGAGUAACGAGCCCUAAUAACGAGCAGGAAUGGGGAGCAGGGAGCAGCUGCUUUCGCGGAGAUCAGUUUUACUCAUUACUCAGGUUCCCCUAAGGCCUGGCCGUGAAACACCUCUUCCUCCUGAGACACCUGCCUUGGCUCCCAGGCCCUGGCGCUUGCUCGUGGGAGCCUGCUCAAAACAACGUGGGGACGGGCCUGGAAAAUGAGACACGCGACAGGAGGAUGUGGGGAGGGAGGAGCCCAAGGGCAGAUAUCGAGGAACAUAAAUGCCCCGAGAGAGAA